AGCCGCGCGGUGAGCACAGAGCGAACUAUUCGUUCGCCUUUUACUAAAGAAUACCGUGUUCUCGCCUUUUAAAGCGGCAUACGCUUAUUUUUCGAGGGCUUAUCUUACAAGAUAC
rnacentral:snRNA from 1 species